GACGAACGCCGGCGGCGUGCUUAACACAUGCAAGUCGAACGAUGAACCCGGAGCUUGCUCCGGUGGAUUAGUGGCGAACGGGUGAGUAACACGUGAGUAACCUGCCCUUGACUCUGGGAUAACUGCGGGAAACUGUAGCUAAUACCGGAUACGACCCUCGGCGGCAUCGCCAGGGGGUGGAAAGAAUUUCGGUCAAGGAUGGACUCGCGGCCUAUCAGCUAGUUGGUGAGGUAACGACUCACCAAGGCGACGACGGGUAGCCGGCCUGAGAGGGUGACCGGCCACACUGGGACUGAGACACGGCCCAGACUCCUACGGGAGGCAGCAGUGGGGAAUAUUGCACAAUGGGCGCAAGCCUGAUGCAGCAACGCCGCGUGAGGGAUGACGGCCUUCGGGUUGUAAACCUCUUUUAGUAGGGAAGAAGCGAAAGUGACGGUACCUGCAGAAUAAGCACCGGCUAACUACGUGCCAGCCGCCGCCGUAA
rnacentral:rRNA from 1 species